ACGAACGCUGGCGGCGUGCUUAACACAUGCAAGUCGAACGGUGAAGGUGGGAGCUUGCUCCUGCUGGAUCAGUGGCGAACGGGUGAGUAACACGUGAGUAACCUGCCCUUGACUCUGGGAUAAGCGUUGGAAACGACGUCUAAUACCGGAUACGAGCUUCAGCCGCAUGGCUAGGAGUUGGAAAGAAUUUCGGUCAAGGAUGGACUCGCGGCCUAUCAGCUUGUUGGUGAGGUAAUGGCUCACCAAGGCGACGACGGGUAGCCGGCCUGAGAGGGUGACCGGCCACACUGGGACUGAGACACGGCCCAGACUCCUACGGGAGGCAGCAGUGGGGAAUAUUGCACAAUGGGCGCAAGCCUGAUGCAGCAACGCCGCGUGAGGGACGACGGCCUUCGGGUUGUAAACCUCUUUUAGCAGGGAAGAAGCGAAAGUGACGGUACCUGCAGAAAAAGCACCGGCUAACUACGU
rnacentral:rRNA from 1 species